UACGUAGGGGGCAAGCGUUGUCCGGAUUUAUUGGGCGUAAAGAGCGUGUAGGCGGCCAAACAGGUCAGCUGUGAAAACUCGAGGCUCAACCUCGAGACGUCGGUUGAAACCGUUUGGCUAGAGUCCGGAAGAGGAGAGUGGAAUUCCCGGUGUAGCGGUGAAAUGCGCAGAUAUCGGGAAGAACACCCGUGGCGAAGGCGGCUCUCUGGGACGGUACUGACGCUGAGACGCGAAAAGCGUGGGGA
rnacentral:rRNA from 1 species